rnacentral:rRNA from 1 species
UACGUAGGGUGCGAGCGUUAAUCGGAAUUACUGGGCGUAAAGCGUGCGCAGGCGGUUCGCUGUGUCCUGUGUGAAAGCCCCGGGCUUAACCUGGGAAUGGCAUGGGAAACUGGCGGGCUGGAGUGUGGCAGAGGGGGGUGGAAUUCCGCGUGUAGCAGUGAAAUGCGUAGAGAUGCGGAGGAACACCGAUGGCGAAGGCAGCCCCCUGGGCUAACACUGACGCUCAGGCACGAAAGCGUGGGGAGCAAGCAGG